CAGCCCCAGGAAAAAGGAAGAGCCAGAUACAAAUAAGGAAUUUAAAGGAAAGAGGCAUGGAAUUUCUCGUUAUUCCUGACACAUAAAAAUCUUCGUGCAUGGCUUAAGGAUAUGUACCCAUCAAGGUGGAGGAAGAACUGAAUGUGAUCUUCACAAAACCAAUGCAGGACAGACCAACACUAUUCUCAGAAGUUGUACAGAGGCACAAUCACCAGGGCUUUGGAGUUGGAACUUCAAGUCGCUUUUUGAAGGCAUUGAGCUGGAUCAAGAGCGGAGAGGGAACCUUUACUAGACUCUCUUAUCAUACCUGGCUAUUUCUUAGCUCUUAAAUCGCAUUAAUCAUACGAAACAAACCUCUGCGUAGAAGGUAGUCAAAUCACAUGAGCUGUAUUUUCCAAAAGAAACAACACCUUCAUCAUAAGAUAGCCAUCUUAGUGCGGGGAAAGGCUGGAGAUUAAACGUGUGUCGGCUAAAGGAAUAACUGAGUUUGGUUGGGUUUUGGAUGACUUGCGCACCUCUUUAGAAGGACGUGCGCACAUUUUAGAAGGAUGUGAAUAAUUAGUAGUUUGCGCUGGCAUGUUCAAAGGAUAUACAAUUCUUAAAAAAAGACGGCAUUUUGUCUACAACAAUUUUUAAUAUAAGAGAAAAGUCAAGUUUCCAGAUGGGUUUUGAACCCAUGACCCUCUGUGAUCUAGUCAGAUGCUCUAACCACUGAGCUACAGGAGACUCUUUAGUGAGCAA
rnacentral:lncRNA from 1 species